rnacentral:rRNA from 1 species
GACGAACGCUGGCGGCGUGCUUAACGCAUGCAAGUCGAAAGAAGUGGCGCACGGGUGAGUAACGCGUAAUCAACCUGCCCUUCAGAGGGGGACAACAGUUGGAAACGACUACUAAUACCGCAUACUGAAGGAGGGCAAUGCGUCUGAUUCGGUAGUUGGCGGGGUAACGGACGACCAAGGGGAUGAUCAUUAGCCGGUCUGAGAGGAUGAACGGUCACAGUGGGACUGGUCCACGGCCCAGUCUCCUACGGUAGGAAGCAGUGGGGAAGCUUCCGGAAUGGACGAAAGUCUGACGGAGCAAAGCCGCGUGAGUGAUGACGGCCUGCGGGUGGUAAAGCGCUGUUAAUCGGGACGCGGUACCGGAAUAGCAAGCCACGGCUAACUACGUGCCAGCAGCCGCGGUAAUUC